UGGGAUAAGAUCGCCCUGGUGACGAGGAGC
rnacentral:piRNA from 2 species